rnacentral:rRNA from 1 species
UACGAGGGGGGCGAGCGUUGUUCGGAAUUAUUGGGCGUAAAGGGCGCGUAGGCGGUCGGAUAAGUCUUGUGUGAAAUCUUCGGGCUCAACUCGAAGUCUGCACAGGAAACUAUCUGGCUUGAGUGUGGGAGAGGUGAGUGGAAUUCCUGGUGUAGCGGUGAAAUGCGUAGAUAUCGGGAGGAACACCGGUGGCGAAGGCGGUUCUCUGGGCCUGUACUGACGCUGAGGAGCGAAAGCGUGGGGAGCGAACAGG